UAACACGUGGGUAACCUGCCUGUAAGACUGGGAUAACUCCGGGAAACCGGGGCUAAUACCGGAUGGUUGUUUGAACCGCAUGGUUCCACAUAAAAAGUGGCUUCGGCUACCCCUUACAGAUGGACCCGCGGCGCAUUAGCUAAUUGGGGAGGUAACGGCUCACCAAGGCAACGAUGCGUACCCGACCUGAAAGGGUGAUCGGCCACACUGGGACUGAGACACGGCCCAAACUCCUACGGGAGGCAGCACUAGGGAAUCUUCCGCAAUGGACGAAAGUCUGACGGAACAACGCCGCGUGAGUGAUGAAAGUUUUCGGAUCCUAAAGCCCUGUUUUUAGGGAAAAACCAGUACCGUUCGAAUAGGGGGGUACCUUGACGGUACCUAACCAGAAAGCCACGGCUAACUACGUGCCAACAGCCGCGGUAAUACG
rnacentral:rRNA from 1 species